UCUCUCUUCCUUUCUAUAUAAAUGCUUGAAAUGUGAUCAAAGUGACCAUCGCUCGCUAGUAUUAAGAUGGCCUCUAUACUCUCCUCCAUCAUUUUCGUACUUCUUUUCAUAAUAUUUUCACUUUUUGUUGAUGCUCAUAUGGAACACCUUAAACUAAGUGGAGCAAAAGAGACAAUGACCAUGAGGAGGAACUUAGAAGGAAAUUCGGGCUCCAAAAUUACAGCUUCACCGAGCAGGUCGCACCAGAGUGGACAAAAAAACACUCAAAAUGAGCCGUCAAAAAUCCAACCUGAUCAAGCAUCAGCAAUUAUUACAGGCUAUGUAACUCCAGAUUACGUAUGCACCUCCGACAACAAAUGUAAGCAGUUAAAAAAACCCUAGCUAAAAACUCCAGAUUACGUAUGCACACCCGGGACUUGUCAAUGAACUGGUUAUAACUUCGGGUUUGUAGUUUGUACGUUGUUGUGGGGUUUCUAUUUAUGUGGUGUUUCAUUAUUAACUGUGCCACUGUUUUACUGAUGGAAUAAGCAAUUCUUGGAAACUAUAUACUUUUUAGUUUUCCUAUACUCCUUGUAAACUUUCUUGAUUGAUUGAUAUAUGCAAAAGAAGAUAUAAAGCACACACACAACACAUUGAUCGUAUAUUACAUACAAGGAUACAACUUACCUUUCUCAUGUAUUUGUGUACCCGCUGUUUCCAAAUUCGGAUUCAAACAUGAGAGGUGCAAUUUGUAGUCGCAAAGAGGAAAAUUAACUAUUUUAUGUUCCACUGCGAAAUUCAACUAUUUUAGGUUCUGAAAACAAUCAAACACUAAAAGAAGAAUUGGUCAAGAGAAACGGAUAUUUCCACGAAGAUAAUAAUGACGGCGUCAUUUUCUCUAGUGACAGUUACAAGUCUAGCCCCAACCAAGAAAUUGGUUUCGCUUGUUCAUACUGACAUUAACAACAUAGUCGUUAUUGUCUAUACACAUAGAAAUGUGAUGGCAACUAGCAGAGCCGGUUAUGAACUUUGGGUGGCUAGAAGCAAAAAAAAAAAAGAGGCUGGUUUAUGUAAGGAAGUUUACAGAUUUUCGUUCUAAUCGUUUUUAACUAAAUAAAUAAAGAAGUGUUAAGCAAAAACGUUUUAAAACAUGAAAGAUUAGGAUGUGAAGUUUAGAGGUGUGAAAACAGUGAGUUUAACGCUACUCAACGUUCUCUCCCAGGCGCUCAAAUCGAGACACCCACUCCGACCAUGGUUUCCGACGCCGGCAGCUCCGUAGCUUGCCAGAGUCAUCGUCUCUUUCCUCUUUUGUGUUCCUUUGUCUUUCUUUCGUUUUGUUUGACCGUUUUUCUCCAGAAAUUUCUUGUCCUUUUGGGAUUCAUGAGUUCUUCCGCCGUCGCUCUGUCCGUAAGAUGUUGCAGCUGCCGUCUCCGUAUCCUCUGGGUCUUGCUUCUCAUUUGUAGCCCUCCUCCAUCUCUUAUGACUGCACUGACAUCAGAUCUGGCUCAGAUUCGUUCUUCACAUAAACUCCAUUGGCCAGAUUUGAAGAUUCUGCGACGAGCGCCACCUUCGUCGUUCUCUUGGGCGAUGACUUUUUUCCCUCUAGGGAUGAUCUAUUCUAACUGGAUUUGGUGUGAGCGAGAGCUCCAUACAGUUGCUCUUCAUCUACCGCUUGACAGAUCUGUGAAGUUCUACGACUCAGAACACCACUUCCUUUUCAAUCCGGUGAGGAGCCCCCCGCUAGAAGAUACACUUACCAGUCUCUGCUCACCGCAAACAUUGUUCACAUAUGCCCUUCCUGGUAUUUGCUCUCCCAUGUCCAGCUUGUUAGAUUUUGAUGACCAGCAGGUCUGUUUAGGUUCCAUGACAACUCUCUGGAUCCGACGCAGUAACGUUGGAGUCCGAAGUUUCUGUUUGAACCCAACUCCUGGUUACUCAGCAAAUCUAGCCAAGUUCAUAUUUCAAGAGUUUGUUAUAAGGGCUAACAUAUAUUCAUUGCUGGAUUUAACACAUUGGUGUUUACCCGUCACUGCCGUAUGCGCCUAGAAACCAUCAUAUCUCGUAGACUCAUCUUUCUUGUGCUCUUCAUGGCCAAGAACAAAUAUGUAUUCAAAGAUGGAACGCCCAUCAAUGGAGCCUUGCAAAUUGGGAUUAGAACUACAUAGUUAUCUCUCUGGUGCAGUCGUUGGUGUUAACCCACAGAGUUCAAGCCAAAGUCAUCAUCAAUCAUUACCUCUAACACGUGCAAAUGUCAUCACAAGAUUAAUUCUAAAGUGGAGUUUACCAAAGCUUGAAGAUUGCAGCCCUUUAGGCUUUUGUUUACAUAAAAGCCUAACCAAAUUUCCUCAUGUUCAGGGCCUUGAGAGAUCCUUUCCCCAUGUCCUCCUCCUUGUAGGAGAGAAUUUUACCAUCAAAACUCCUUUCCAUGAGAGGUACUUUUCUCUGGGCUUAAAAACCUUAGAGUAUUAUCAUUUUCUUAACUGUUUAGUAUCUUGUGUAAUGGUCCACAUGGGAUCAGAAGAUACAACGGGACUCAUGUCAAUGAGAACCGAGGUUUUAGAGCGCCCAAAGUCACAAUAUACAGUGACCAUUCUCAAGUUAGGAGAGCGAUAUAUCUUUCUAUGGAUAUUACUCGCAUGCACCUUCGAAAACACUUCCAACGCCUUAUCAAACUCUCUUAAGUUUGUGUAUCUAUCUUUAUGUUGCUUUGUUUGGUUUGCUCUUCAAAUUUCAGAACGGAUUGCGCAUCAUAUGUCGGAUGUUGCAUUAACAUUUGUAAUCAUUUAAGAUUAUCAAUGAAUAUCAUGUUGUGAACAAAAAAAAAACA